GAGGGUGUAGCUCAAGCAGUACAGCGUGUGCUUAGCAAGCACGAGGUCCUGGGUUCAAUCCCCAGUACCUCCU
rfam:Camelus ferus unplaced genomic scaffold scaffold252, whole genome shotgun sequence.